rnacentral:rRNA from 1 species
UACGUAGGGGGCUAGCGUUGUCCGGAUUUAUUGGGCGUAAAGAGCGUGUAGGCGGCCAUGUAGGUCCGGUGUGAAAACUCGAGGCUUAACCUCGAGAUGUCAUCGGAAACCAUUUGGCUAGAGUCCGGAAGAGGAGAGUGGAAUUCCUGGUGUAGCGGUGAAAUGCGCAGAUAUCAGGAAGAACGCCAAUGGCGAAAGCAGCUCUCUGGGACGGUACUGACGCUGAGACGCGAAAGCGUGGGGAGCGAACAGG